rnacentral:lncRNA from 1 species
CACCUCCUAGUUCUUCCCCUGCCCAAAGGAGCACGCCACCAUGAGCAAUUACUCCCCCAUGGUUACCAUUGUCGUUGUCAUGCACAGCUCAAAUUAGAGCUAACCAUGGCCCCUUCACAUUAGCUCCACCCACCAAAGACCCUCCAUGUACACCGGGGAGCCAUACCGAACCUUACCUCCUUCUCCUCACAAUAUAAACACCAUUCCCAUCAUCAACUCUCGCCGAUUGUUUCCACGGUCGAUGGUGCGCUCGCGCCCGACCUCCCUGAGGUCCAUGUCCUAUCUAGAU